rnacentral:rRNA from 1 species
UAACCGGUGGCGAUGGCGAAGAGGCCACACCCGUACCCAUCUCGAACACGGAAGUUAAGCUCUUUAGCGUCGAUGGUACUGCAUGGGAGACUGUGUGGGAGAGUAGAACGCUGCCGGUUCU